rnacentral:rRNA from 1 species
AGAGUUUGAUCCUGGCUCAGAACGAACGCUGGCGGUAUGCUUAACACAUGCAAGUCGAACGAACAAAAUUGGGGCUUGCUCCAAUUUUAGUGAGUGGCAAACGGGUGAGUAACACGUGGGAAUCUACCUAUCAGUACGGAAUAACAUUUGGAAACAGAUGCUAAUACCGUAUAUUCUCCAAGGAGGAAAGAUUUAUCGCUGAUAGAUGAGCCCGCGUUAGAUUAGCUAGUUGGUGGGGUAAUGGCCUACCAAGGCGACGAUCUAUAGCUGGUCUGAGAGGACGAUCAGCCACACUGGCACUGAGAUACGGGCCAGACUCCUACGGGAGGCAGCAGUUAGGAAUCUUGGGCAAUGGGGGAAACCCUGACCCAGCGACGCCGCGUGUGUGAUGAAGGCCUUCGGGUUGUAAAGCACUUUUGGCAGGGACGAUAAUGACGGUACCUGCAGAAUAAGCCACGGCAAACUUCGUGCCAGCAGCCGCGGUAAUACGAAGGUGGCUAGCGUUGUUCGGAAUCACUGGGCGUAAAGCGCGUGUAGGCUGUUCCAUAAGUUAGGCGUGAAAGCCUUGGGCUUAACCCGAGAAUUGCGCUUAAUACUGUGGGGCUCGAGUAUGGUAGAGGAUGAUGGAAUUCCGAGUGUAGAAGUGAAAUUCGUAGAUAUUCGGAGGAACACCAAUGGCGAAGGCAGUCAUCUGGGCCAUUACUGACGCCGAGACGCGAAAGCGUGGGUAGCAAACAGGAUUAGAUACCCUGGUAGUCCACGCCCUAAACGAUGAGUGCUAGACGUUGGAGCUUAGCUCCAGUGUCGUAGCUAACGCGUUAAGCACUCCGCCUGGGAAGUACGGUCGCAAGACUAAAACUCAAAGGAAUUGACGGGGACCCGCACAAGCGGUGGAGCAUGUUGUUUAAUUCGAUGCAAACCGAAAAACCUUACCAGCCCUUGACAUACAGGUUUACGGCUUCCAGAGAUGGUUGCCAUCAGUUCGGCUGGGACCUGUACAGGUGUUGCAUGGCUGUCGUCAGCUCGUGUCGUGAGAUGUUGGGUUAAGUCCCGCAACGAGCGCAACCCCUGUCAUUAGUUGCUACCAGGUAAUGCUGGGCACUCUAAUGAGACUGCCGGUGAUAAGCCGGAGGAAGGAGGGGAUGACGUCAAGUCAUCAUGGCCUUUAUGGGCUGGGCCACAAACGUGCUACAAUGGCGAUAACAAAAGGAUGCAAUGCAGCGAUGCGGAGCCAAUCCCCAAAUAUCGUCCCAGUUCAGAUUGUAGUCUGCAACUCGACUACAUGAAGAUGGAAUCGCUAGUAAUCGUGGAUCAGCAUGCCACGGUGAAUACGUUCCCGGGUCUUGUACACACCGCCCGUCAAGUCAUGGGAGUUGGUUCUACCUUAAGAUAGUAUCCUAACCGCAAGGAGGGAGCUAGCCACGGUAGGGCCGAUGACUGGGACUAAGUCGUAACAAGGUAGCAGUAGGGGAACCUGCGGCUGGAUCACCUCCUU